rnacentral:rRNA from 2 species
CCGUUGGUGAACCAGCGGAGGGAUCAUUACCGAGUUUACAACUCCCAAACCCCUGUGAACAUACCAUUUGUUGCCUCGGCGGUGCCUGCUUCGGCAGCCCGCCAGAGGACCCAAACCCUUGAUUUUAUACAGUAUCUUCUGAGUAAAUGAUUAAAUAAAUCAAAACUUUCAACAACGGAUCUCUUGGUUCUGGCAUCGAUGAAGAACGCAGCGAAAUGCGAUAAGUAAUGUGAAUUGCAGAAUUCAGUGAAUCAUCGAAUCUUUGAACGCACAUUGCGCCCGCCAGUAUUCUGGCGGGCAUGCCUGUUCGAGCGUCAUUUCAACCCUCAAGCCCCCGGGCUUGGUGUUGGAGAUCGGCGUGCCCCCCGGGGCGCGCCGGCUCCCAAAUAUAGUGGCGGUCUCGCUGUAGCUUCCUCUGCGUAGUAGCACACCUCGCACUGGAAAACAGCGUGGCCACGCCGUUAAACCCCCCACUUCUGAAAGGUUGACCUCGGAUCAGGUAGGAAUACCCGCUGAACUUAAGCAUAUCAAUAAGCGGA